rnacentral:rRNA from 1 species
AACGAACGCUGGCGGCAUGCCUAACACAUGCAAGUCGAACGGACCCUUCGGGGUGAGUGGCGGACGGGUGAGUAACGCGUAGGAACCUGCCUUGUAGUGGGGAAUAACAGCUGGAAACGGCUGCUAAUACCGCAUACGCCCUCCCGGUGUAAGAGCCUGGAGGGGAAAGAUUUAUCGCUAUGAGAGGGUCCUGCGUUCGAUUAGCUUGUUGGCGGGGUAACGGCCCACCAAGGCGACGAUCGAUAGCUGGUCUGAGAGGAUGAUCAGCCACACUGGGACUGAGACACGGCCCAGACUCCUACGGGUGGCUG